rnacentral:rRNA from 1 species
UAUGUGAUCGUCUCUCGCAUAUCAAUAAGCGGAGGAAAAGAAACUAACAAGGAUUCCCCUAGUAACGACGAGUGAAGCGGGAAGAGCUCAAAUUUGAAAUCUUAAAGGGUUUCCCUUUACGAAUUGUAGUUUAAAGAAGUGUUUUCUGUUGAGGUUUUGGUAAAAGUUCUUUGGAAUAGGACAUCAUAGAGGGUGAGAAUCCCGUAUUUGACCUUUACUUUCAACUUUGUGAUACACUUUCAAAGAGUCGGAUUGUUUGGGAAUGCAGUCCAAAAUGGGUGGUAAAUUUCAUCUAAAGCUAAAUAUUGGCGAGAGACCGAUAGCGAACAAGUACCGUGAGGGAAAGAUGAAAAGAACUUUGAAAAGAGAGUUAAACAGUACGUGAAAUUGUCAAAAGGGAAGCGUUUGACACCAGUGUUGUUUUUCUGAAAAUCAAUUAAAGAACUGUUUAUGCUAAGCUGUUUAGACUUUAUCAGCUAUCUGUUUAGUUUUGAGCUUUUCUUUAAUGCACUUUUCAGUUAACAAGUCAACAUCAAUUUCUUUUGCUGUAAAAAAGCUUGAGGAAGGUGGCUUGAGAUUCGUCUUAAGUGUUUAUAGCCUCUUGCCUAUGCAGUCGGAGAGAUUGAGGUCUGCAGCGUAGAUCCUUCGGGGCUAAAUGCAUUUGUGCUAAGUUAUAGCAUUUUAUAGACAACUUGUUGACUAUGAUUUGUCUUGUAGCUUACUCGCUUAUGUUAUUUUACCUACGCUUAGGAUGUUGAGCGCAUGUCUCUCUCU